rnacentral:rRNA from 1 species
AUUGAACGCUGGCGGCAUGCCUUACACAUGCAAGUCGAACGGCAGCACGGGUGCUUGCACCUGGUGGCGAGUGGCGAACGGGUGAGUAAUACAUCGGAACAUGUCCUGUAGUGGGGGAUAGCCCGGCGAAAGCCGGAUUAAUACCGCAUACGAUCUACGGAUGAAAGCGGGGGACCUUCGGGCCUCGCGCUAUAGGGUUGGCCGAUGGCUGAUUAGCUAGUUGGUGGGGUAAAGGCCUACCAAGGCGACGAUCAGUAGCUGGUCUGAGAGGACGACCAGCCACACUGGGACUGAGACACGGCCCAGACUCCUACGGGAGGCAGCAGUGGGGAAUUUUGGACAAUGGGCGAAAGCCUGAUCCAGCAAUGCCGCGUGUGUGAAGAAGGCCUUCGGGUUGUAAAGCACCUUUGUCCGGAAAGAAAUCCUUGGCCCUAAUACGGUCGGGGGAUGACGGUACCGGAAGAAUAGGCACCGGCUAACUACGUG